GUGCUCACUUCAGCAGCACAUGUACUAAAGUUGGAAUGAUACAGAGAUUAGCACAGCCCUUGAGCAAUGCCAUAUGUUUUUAUGAGUGGAUAAAUAGAUAU
ensembl:snRNA U6 U6 spliceosomal RNA